rnacentral:lncRNA from 1 species
CGGGCAUAGUAGCGCGCUCACCAGACUGCAGAUCACCACAUCCGGCACACAAUUCUCUAUGCUGACCUACGAAAAACUUUACUGAUUAAUUUCUACGUAAUUUGAAUGUAUCCCGUGCGUGACUAUUAUUAGGAAUAAAACUGGCCACUCCUUACCAAUGAAGAUUAUCGAUUCACUAAGAACUACAAUUGUUACCUGAGUAUACAGAAGUAAUUGUAAUUGCACGAUAUUUGCAAUGCUAUUGAUGGAAUUUAGAGGAAAAUCUAAGUCGGAUAAGUUGCAGUUUUCAGUAUGCCUUCUUUUUUUAGCAUGAAAAAUGAAUAAUAUAUGGAAAAUUAAGUAUUAUUGUUUUUCAAUCAACACUAUGUUUUAAUAAAAUCGAACGAAUGCGAUAAUUUAAUUACAGACGAAAGGGGAAGUUUUAAUUAAUAGGAUAUAUUCUUCAUAGUGUAGAGCGGUUCCUCGAUAACAACUGGAUACGUAACUUCGAAACGGAGCGCCCUAUUGUUUCGUAUUCUGUU